rnacentral:rRNA from 1 species
GACGAACGCUGGCGGCGUGCCUAAUACAUGCAAGUCGAACGCAGUGGGGACGGGUGAGUAACACGUGGGUAACCUCCCAUCAGAGGGGAUAACACUUGGAAACAGGUGCUAAACCGAUACAGAUGGAUGGACCCGCGGUGCAUUAGUGAGUUGGUGAGGUAACGGAUCACCAAGGCCACGAUGCAUAGCCGACCUGAGAGUGGGAUCGGCCACACUGGGACUGAGACACGGCCCAGACUCCUACGGGAGGCAGCAGUGGGGAAUAUUGCACAAUGGGCGCAAGCCUGAUGCAGCCAUGCCGCGUGUAUGAAGAAGGCCCUAGGGUUGUAAAGUACUUUCAGUCGGGAGGCGUUACCGACAGAAGAAGCACCGGCUAACUCCGUGCCAGCAGCCGCGGUAAUAC